rnacentral:rRNA from 1 species
GUCACUUCAUUUAUUAGUUUAUUUAAGCUUGCUAAGUGAUAGCAAAUAUAAAACAAUUAAGACUAUUUUAUUAUUUUUAUUAAAUUAAACAUGCAAGGCUAGGUGAUAGAAAUAAAUAAACAAUCACGUUUGUUUUUAUUUAUUUAACAUACGAGACUAUGUGUUACACAAAUGGAACAAAGAGCUCGUAUUAUUAUUUUAAUUAAUAUUUAAAUAUGCGAUACUAAGCGAUAAAAUAUCAAACAAUUGAGAAGUAAAUUUAUUAUUUUUAAUUAAUUAUUUAAGCAUGCAAAACUAAAUGAUAACAAUAAAUAAGACAUUUUAAAAAAAUAAAGAUAAGCGAGGGGAUAGAAGAGAGGCAAAUAAAUAAGCAAACAAUUUUCUUAUUUUUAUUUUAACCUUCCCCUUCACCCCCGACCGACCAUGAUCUUCUCAGAAGGGUUAGAGUGUGAGCAUACCUGCUGGGACCCAAAAUAUAGUGAAAUAUGCCUUAGCGGGAAGAAGCUAGAGGACACUCUGGUCGAGGCCCAAAGCGAUACUAACAUGCAAAUCAUUCGUAUAACUUUGGUAUAUGGGAGAAAGACUAAUCAAACCAUCAAGUAGCUGGUUCCCUCCAAAGUUUCCCUCCGGAUAGCUGGAGCUCGCGUGCGAAUUCUAUCGGGUAAAGCGAAUUGUUAGAGGACUGGGGAGAAAAAUGCCGUCGACCCAUUCUCAAACAUUAAAUAGGUAGGACAGCGCGACUGUUUUUUUGAUCCGCGCCAUAUAAUCAAAAGCUACAACUUUGUCAUUUUAUAUAAUUAGAAUUGGCGAUGUGGGAUGAACCUAAAAAAGACGGGAUAUGGUUCCAAACUGCGCUAACCUAGAUUCCACUAAGGGUGUUGGUCGAUUAUGAAAGAAGGACGGUUGUCAUGGAAUUCGAAAUCCGAUAAGGAGUGUGUAACAACUCACUAGCCGAAUCAACUAGCCCUGAAUAUUGAUGGAAAUUAAGCAAGAUGAGUAGGAGGGCGUGGCGGUCGCUUUAAAACCUUGGGCGUGAGAGUAGGCGUAGUGGUCAUCGGUGCAAAUCUUGGUGGUAGUAACCAAUAUUCAAAUGAGAACUUUUAAAUCCGAAGAGAGGAAAGGUUCCAUGUGAAUGGAACUUGCACAUGCUUUAGUCGAUCCUAAAGGUUAGGGGAGCCCCGAGAGAUAGCAUGUUUCGCGCAUACUCCGAAAGGAAAUGAGGUUAAAUUUUCUGAAAGGUGAUGCGGCGGUUGACGCUAAAGUUAAAAAGUGUGGAGACAUCGACGGGAGCCUCGGGAAGAGUUAUAUUUUCUGUUUAAUAUCCUACCCACUCUAGAUUCGACUCAGGCGAAGGUAGGGUCCAGUAGCUGGAAGAGCACGGCACGUUGCGUGGUGUCCGGUGCACUCCUCGAGUCCCUUUAAAAUUAGAAGGAUAAUAUGUCAUCCAUGCCAGGUCGUACUCAUGACAGAAUCAGGUCUCCAAGGUGAACUACUUCUAGUCGAUGAAACAAUGUAGGCAAGGGAAUUCGGCACGGGGGUCCCACUCCCUAACCCGUCGGCUGUCGAUGGACUGCUCGAGCUGCUUCUACAGCGAGAACGAGUCACCACGUGCUGGCCGGGGGACGAACUGGGAAUGGUUCCUUCUGGCGCCUUCCCAGGGCAUCGAAAAGCCAACUCAAUACUAGUAAGUACAAGGGGAAUUCUACUGUUUAAUUAAAACAAAGCAUUGGGAAUGUCCCAACGGAUGUUUACUCAAUGUGAUUUCUGCCCAGUCUUUGAAUGUUUAAGUAAUGAAAUUCAACCAAGCACAGGUAAAUGGCGAGAGUAACUAUGACUGUCUUAAGGUAUCCAAAUGCCUCGUUAUCUAAUUAGUGACGCACAUGAAUGGAAUAACGAGAUUCCCAUUGUUCCUGUCUACUAUGCAGCAAAACCAUAUCCAAGGGAACGAUCUUGGCAGAAUCAGCGGAUAAAGAAGACGAGUUGAGCUUAAUUCUACUCCGACUUUGUGAAAUGACAUGAGAGGUGUAGUAUAAGUGGGAGAUGAAAGGCAAAAGUGAAAUACCGCUACUUUUAACAGUAUUUUACUUAUUCCGUGAAUCAGAAGUGGGGCACUUUCCCUCUUUUUCGACCCAAGGCUUGCUUUGCGGGCCAAUCUGGGCGGAAGACAUUGUCAGGUGAGGAGUUUGGCUAUUACGGCAUAUCUUGUUUAAGAUAACGCAAGUUUUCUAAGAUGACAUCAACGAGAACAAAGAUCUCGUGUGGGACAGGAGGUUAAAAUCUCAUUUGAUUUGGAUUUCCAUUACGAAUAAGAACCGUGAAAGCAAGGCCUAACGAUCUUUUAGACCGUUGGA